rnacentral:rRNA from 1 species
CUGGUUGAUCCUGCCGGAGAUCACCGCUAUAAGGUUUGGAUUUAACCCAUGCUAGUCUCUGGGUAAUACCAGGGCGCAAGGCUGAGUAACGCGUAGAUAACCUGCCCUAUGGUCGGGAAUAAGCUCGCGAAAGUGAGUAGAAUACCCGAUAGGAAAUAUUCUCUGGAACGAAAUAUUUCUCAAACUCGUGCCAUAGGAUGGGUCUGCGGUGGAUUAGGCUGUUGUUAGUGUAACGAACUAACAAACCUAUAAUCCAUAGGGGCUAUGAGAGUAGUGGCCUCCAGAUGGGUUCUGAGACAAGAACCCAGGUCCUACGGGACGCAGCAGGGGCGAAACCUUCUCAAUGCGCGCAAGCGUGAAGGGGCAAGCCUUAGUGCCGGCCUUUGCUCGGCUUUUGCCAAGUUCAAAAGGCUUGGCGAAUAAGUGGUGGGCAAGACCGUUGCCAGCCGCCGCGGUAAUAACGGCUCCACAAGUGGUGAUCGCGUAUGUUGGGCCUAAAGCAUCCGUAGCCGGCUUAGUAAGUCUUCUGUGAAAUCCGGCAGAAAACUGUCGGGCGUGCAGGAGAUACUACUAGGCUUGGGACCGGGAAGGGUAGGAGGUACUUCCAGGGUAGGGGUGGAAGUUUCAGAAAAUAAAAAGUCCGAUGAUUUGAGCCAUGCAAAAGGACCAUUUUAUUUGCUUGACCUAAUAUGAUGGACGCAAAAAUGAUUUUCUGAAAAUCAUAAUCCUGUAAUCCUGGAGGGACCACCUGUGGCGCUGCCCUUUUUCUUUAGAAAAGAAAAAGGGCAAGUUGCCCAAAAAGAGACCAAUUGCACAGAAAUUUUUUGCUGUGAAAUUUUUCUUUCUUGGGUGACCCAUAGCCUUCUUUCUUUAGCAAUGUUUUCACAAGUAAAAGAAAGAAGGGUAGGCACAGAAGGCGUCCUACUGGAACGGGUCCGACGGUGAGGGAUGAAAGCUGGGGGAGCAAAUGGGAUUAGAUUGAUCCUAAGCUCACCAACUUAAUCGUUAGCGGGAUGAGCGGGUCCUAAAGACCCCAGUAGUCCCAGCUGUAAACGAUGCCCGCUAGGUAUUAGGAUUCCCACGUGGAAUUCUAGUGCCGUAGGGAAGCCAUUAAGCGGGCCGCCUGGGAAGUACGGUCGCAAGGCUGAAACUUAAAGGAAUUGGCGGGGGAUCACACAAGGGGUGCAGUCUGCGGUUCAAUUGGACUCAACGCCGGGAACCUCACCAGGGGUGACAGCAGGAUGAUGGUCAGUCUGAAGGGCUUACCUGACGCGCUGAGAGGUAUUGCAUGGCCGACGUCAGCUCGUGCCGUGAGGUGUCGUGUCAAGUCAUGUAACGAGCGAGACCCGCACUGUAUGUUGCCAUUCUGUCAGCAAUGACGGGGGCACUCAUGCAGGACAGCUCGCGCUAAGUGAGAGGAAGGUGCGGUCAACGUUAGGUCAGUAUGGUCCGAAUCCCUUGGGCUACACGCGGGCGACAAUGGUCGGGACAAUAGGAUGCAACGCCGAAAGGCGAAGCUAAUCCCUGAAACCCGAUCUCAGUUCAGAUUGUGGGUUGCAACUCACCCACAUGACGCCGGAAUCCCUAGUAAUCGAGUGUUAGCAACCGCCCUUUUUCUUUAGAAAAGAAAAAGCGCGGGCGGAAAAAGAAAUUCCGCCGGCGGAUAAAAUCGCUCGAUGAAUACGUCCCUGAUCCUUGCACACAC